rnacentral:rRNA from 1 species
GACGAACGCUGGCGGCGUGCUUAACACAUGCAAGUCGAACGAAGUGGCGAACGGGUGAGUAACGCGUAAUAAACCUGCCCUUCAGAGGGGGACAACAGUUGGAAACGACUGCUAAUACCGCAUCCGGAAGGAGGGGAUGGCGUCUGAUUGGGUAGUUGGAGGGGUGACGGCCGACCAAGGCGAUGAUGAGUAGCCGGUCUGAGAGGUUGAACGGCCACAUUGGGACUGGGACACGGCCCAGACUCCUACGGGAGGCAGCAGUGGGGAAUCUUCCGCAAUGGACGAAAGGCUGACGGAGCAACGCCGCGUGAGUGAUGACGGCCUUCGGGUUGUAAAGCUCUGUUAAUCGGGACGCGGUACCGGAAUAGAAAGCCACGGCUAACUACGUGCCAGCAGCCGCGGUAAUAC